rnacentral:rRNA from 4 species
UAUGGAGAGUUUGAUUCUGGCUCAGAACGAACACUGGCGGCGCGCCUAAUACAUGCAAGUCGAACGGGAAAGUGAGGUUCGCCUCACGAGUAUAGUGGCGACCGGGUGAGUAACGCGUUAGUAAUCUACCUUUCAGUUGGGGAUAACCUUGUUAAAACGGGGCUAAUACCGAAUAGCAUUCCGAUGCCGCAUGGCAUUGUGAUAAAAGGUGCGUAAGUACCGCUGGAAGAUGAACUUGCGUCCCAUUAGCUAGUUGGCGGGGUAAUGGCCCACCAAGGCGACGAUGGGUAGCCGGCCUGAGAGGGUGUACGGCCACAUUGGGACUGAGAUACGGCCCAGACUCCUACGGGAGGCAGCAGUAGGGAAUUUUGCGCAAUGGACGAAAGUCUGACGCAGCGACGCCGCGUGAGUGAUGAAGGUCUUCGGAUUGUAAAGCUCUUUUAGGAGGGAAGAACCUGCAGGUGAAUAAUCUGCACUGACGGUACCUCCAGAAAAAGCUCCGGCUAACUCUGUGCCAGCAGCCGCGGUAAUACAGGGGGAGCUAGUGUUGUUCGGAUUUACUGGGUGUAAAGGGAGCGUAGGCGGAAAUUUAAGUCAGGGGUGGAAUUUCGAGGCUCAACCUUGAACUUGCCUCUGAUACUGGAUUUCUAGAGUAUGGGAGAGGACGAUGGAAUUCCUGGUGUAGCGGUGGAAUGCGUAGAUAUCAGGAGGAACACCGAUGGCGAAGGCAGUCGUCUGGAACAAUACUGACGCUGAGGCUCGAAAGCAUGGGGAGCAAACAGGAUUAGAUACCCUGGUAGUCCAUGCCCUAAACUAUGGAUACUAGAUAUCGAAGGAAUCAAAUCUUUCGGUGUCGAAGCUAACGCAUUAAGUAUCCCACCUGGGGAGUACGGUCGCAAGUCUGAAACUCAAAGAAAUUGACGGGGGCCCGCACAAGCGGUGGAGCAUGUGGUUCAAUUCGAUGGUACGCGAGGAACCUUACCUGGGCUUGACAUGGGGGUGACCGGCGCAGAGAUGUGCCUUUUUCGCAAGAAACACCCUACACAGGUGCUGCAUGGCUGUCGUCAGCUCGUGUCGUGAGAUGUUGGGUUAAGUCCCGCAACGAGCGCAACCCUUGUCCUGUGUUACCAGCGCGUCAUGGCGGGGACUCACAGGAGACUGCCUCAUUUAAGAGGAGGAAGGUGGGGAUGACGUCAAGUCCUCAUGGCUCUUACGUCCAGGGCUACACACGUGCUACAAUGGCCGGUACAAAGAGUCGCAAUACCGCGAGGUGGAGCUAAUCUCAAAAAGCCGGUCUCAGUUCGGAUUGGAGUCUGCAACUCGACUCCAUGAAGUUGGAAUCGCUAGUAAUCGCGCAUCAGCUACGGCGCGGUGAAUACGUUAUCGGGCCUUGUACACACCGCCCGUCAAGCCAUGAAAGCCGGGGGUACUCGAAGUGGUUGCCUUAACCGUAAGGAGGGCGCCCCUAAAGUAAAACCGGUGAUUGGGGCUAAGUCGUAACAAGGUAGCCGUAUCGGAAGGUGCGGCUGGAUCACCUCCUUUCUA